rnacentral:rRNA from 1 species
GUAGGAGUACCCGCUGAACUUAAGCAGCCCUAGUAACGGCGAGUGAAGCGGCAACAGCUCAAAUUUGAAAUCUGGCCUUCCUUUAGGGGGCCCGAGUUGUAAUUUGCAGAGGAUGCUUUUGGCACGGCACCUUCCGAGUUCCUUGGAACAGGACGCCAUAGAGGGUGAGAGCCCCGUCUGGUCGGAUGCCUAGCCUCUAUAAAGCUCCUUCGACGAGUCGAGUAGUUUGGGAAUGCUGCUCAAAGCGGGAGGUAUAUGUCUUCUAAAGCUAAAUACUGGCCAGAGACCGAUAGCGCACAAGUAGAGUGAUCGAAAGAUGAAAAGCACUUUGAAAAGAGGGUUAAAUAGUACGUGAAAUUGCUGAAAGGGAAGCGCUUGCAACUAGACGUGGGUACGCCCAAUCACCUAGUGUAUUUUUUCACUAGGCUACUUGGACGUUUUAGCCCAGGCCAGCAUCGGUUUGCCGCGGGGGAUAAAGGCGCCUGGAACGUAGCCCCUUUUCGGAGGGGUGUUAUAGCCUAGCGUGCAAUGCCCUGUGUGCAGACCGAGGUUCGCGCAUUCUGCAAGGAUGCUGGCGUAAUAGUUGCUAGCGACCCGUCUUGAAACACGGACCAAGGAGUCGUCCUCGUAUGCGAGUGUUCGGGUGUUAAACCCCUACGCGGAAUGAAAGUGAACGCAGGUGAGAGCCUCUUUAGGGGCGCAUCACCGACCGAUCCUGAUGUUCUCGGAUGGAUUUGAGUAAGAGCAUACGGGGCCGGACCCGAAAGAAGGUGAACUAUGCCUGCGUAGGGUGAAGCCAGAGGAAACUCUGGUGGAGGCUCGCAGCGGUUCUGACGUGCAAAUCGAUCGUCAAACGUGGGCAUGGGGGCGAAAGAC